rnacentral:misc_RNA from 1 species
CAUGGCGGAGGAGGUGGGCACCUGGUAAUCCCCAGGUGUGAUUGCCUCCACGCUCUCUACCCUUGUCUAUUCGCACCUUUUGUCGUUCCCUCGGCGGGUCUUGACCCGCCGGCGGCAACCUUUAACAAACCUUUUGCAGUAGCAUCCGAUUCUUCUGAUCAAAUUAUCAAAUCGUUA